GCGCGGGUAGUUUAGUGGUUAGAAUAUCUGAUUGCCAAUCAGGUGACCUGGGUUCGAUUCCCAGUCUGCGCA
rnacentral:tRNA from 1 species